rnacentral:misc_RNA from 1 species
GACAGACCACUGAGUGAGACCUUCAACGGACAUUUACCAAACUCCAAUCAACAGAGAAAAGAGAGGAGAGGAGGAGGAGAAGCAACUGUCAACAGAAGAGGAGGAAGAAGAAUGAGUAAAUGAAAUGGACAAAAACGAUGGGACCUGCAAAUGCAAAGCAAAGCAGGUCACAGAACAAAUUGGGCGUUGGAUUAAGAAUAUAACAGAAAAGGCCUGGUUAGCCUCCUGAAUUACAAGCAAUAUAUAACAAUGAUACAGAACAGAUCCCUCCCCUAGUUAAAAAGGAUAUAAUACAUUCUCUCUCCCUUCCUACUCUUCAAAACUGAGCACAUCUGCU